rnacentral:rRNA from 1 species
UACGGAGGGUGCUAGCGUUGUUCGGAAUUACUGGGCGUAAAGCGCGUGUAGGCGGCUUGGCAAGUCGGAUGUGAAAUCCCCGGGCUCAACCCUGGAACUGCAUCCGAAACUACCUGGCUAGAGUCCUGGAGAGGAAGGCAGAAUUCCCGGUGUAGGGGUGAAAUCCGUAGAUACCGGGAGGAAUACCAGUAGCGAAGGCGGCCUUCUGGACAGUGACUGACGCUCAGACGCGAAAGCGUGGGGAGCAAACAGG